AGUGAACGCUGGCGGUAGGCCUAACACAUGCAAGUCGAACGGCAGCACAGUAAGAGCUUGCUCUUACGGGUGGCGAGUGGCGGACGGGUGAGGAAUACAUCGGAAUCUACUUUUUCGUGGGGGAUAACGUAGGGAAACUUACGCUAAUACCGCAUACGACCUACGGGUGAAAGCAGGGGAUCUUCGGACCUUGCGCGAUUGAAUGAGCCGAUGUCGGAUUAGCUAGUUGGCGGGGUAAAGGCCCACCAAGGCGACGAUCCGUAGCUGGUCUGAGAGGAUGAUCAGCCACACGGGAACUGAGACAGGGUCCAGACUCCUGCGGGAGGCAGCAGUGGGGAAUAUUGGACAAUGGGCGCAAGCCUGAUCCAGCCAUACCGCGUGGGUGAAGAAGGCCUGCGGGUUGUAAAGCCCUUUUGUUGGGAAAGAAAAGCAGCAGGUUAAUACCCCGCUGUUCUGACGGUACCCAAAGAAUAAGCACCGGCUAACUUCGU
rnacentral:rRNA from 1 species